UAAUACUGACACUGAGGCUCGAAAGCGUGGGUAGCGAACAGGAUUAGAUACCCUGGUAGUCCACGCCGUAAACGAUGUCUACUAGUCGUUGGGUCCCUUGAGGACUUAGUGACGCAGCUAACGCAAUAAGUAGACCGCCUGGGGAGUACGGCCGCAAGGUUAAAACUCAAAUGAAUUGACGGGGGCCCGCACAAGCGGUGGAGCAUGUGGUUUAAUUCGAUGCAACGCGAAGAACCUUACCUGGUCUUGACAUAUCUAGAAUCCUGCAGAGAUGCGGGAGUGCCUUCGGGAAUUAGAAUACAGGUGCUGCAUGGCUGUCGUCAGCUCGUGUCGUGAGAUGUUGGGUUAAGUCCCGCAACGAGCGCAACCCUUGUCCUUAGUUACCAGCGGGUUAAGCCGGGAACUCUAAGGAUACUGCCAGUGACAAACUGGAGGAAGGCGGGGACGACGUCAAGUCAUCAUGGCCCUUACGACCAGGGCUACACACGUGCUACAAUGGUAGGUACAGAGGGCAGCUACACAGCGAUGUGAUGCGAAUCUCAAAAAGCCUAUCGUAGUCCAGAUUGGAGUCUGCAACUCGACUCCAUGAAGUAGGAAUCGCUAGUAAUCGCGGAUCAGAAUGCCGCGGUGAAUACGUUCCCGGGCCUUGUACACACCGCCCGUCACACCAUGGGAGUUGAUUGCACCAGAAGUGGAUAGCUUAACCUUCGGGGGAGCGUUCACCACGGUGUGGUUGAUGACUGGGGUGAAGUCGUAACAAGGUAACCGUA
rnacentral:rRNA from 1 species